GUGCUUGCUUUGACAGCAGAUAUACUAAAAUUGGAAUGAUAAAGAGAAUGUUAACAUGGCCCCUGCACAAGGAUGGUUACACAUUCUGAAGCAGUCCAUAAAUUU
rnacentral:snRNA from 1 species